ACCCCUUUUGAAGGAUGACUGAUUUCCUCUGGUGUUCAGAGUCCACAAUGUUUUCUAGCACCAUUUGAAAUCGGUUAUAAUGACAGGGGA
rnacentral:pre_miRNA from 1 species